UGUCAAUUUGACCGUCGCAUACCGAAAAUUUUCAAUUUGAAUUUCAUUAUCUGCAGUGGAAUUAUCUUCUCUUUUUUUAGAGAUAGAUAGUACGCUAUCCGUUUCGUUUAUUUCAUUUAGAAAUAAACUUAGCUGAAAAUGUGAAUCAAUUAGGAUUCAAACUUGAGACCUCAAAUACCAACCACUAAACCCUUUGCCAUUUGCUCUAGAAACGGUCUAUCUGCAGUGGAAUUAUGAAAUGCAUUAGCAAAUAUAUGUAUAUGUUCUCAUCAUGUCAUCAU
rnacentral:lncRNA from 1 species